rnacentral:rRNA from 1 species
UACGUAGGGUGCAAGCGUUAAUCGGAAUUACUGGGCGUAAAGCGUGCGCAGGCGGUUGAGCAAGACAGAUGUGAAAUCCCCGGGCUUAACCUGGGAAUGGCCAUGGAAACUGGCGAACUGGAGUGCGGCAGAGGGGGGUGGAAUUCCACGUGUAGCGGUGAAAUGCGUAGAGAUGUGGAGGAACACCAGUGGCGAAGGCGACUCUUUGGCCUGUAACUGACGCUGAGGCGCGAAAGCGUGGGGAGCAAACAGG